rnacentral:rRNA from 1 species
CGGUGCAAAAUUUUCAUGUGGUUAGUGGUCCAUGGCAAGUGUCUGACGGCGGAUAAUCUUGCACGCAGAGAGGAUUGCACACACUUGUUUGUGCAUUGCCGAUACACGCAGCAGCUUUGGGGCUUGCUGAAAUCCUGGACUCGGGUGCAGUUCAUUAUGCCGGACGAUCGACACGGCUGCACGGAGGAGUGGUGGCUCGAGGUCAUAGCGGGCGUACCUAAACCAAUGUGCCGCAAUUUUGACACCAUUACGAUCUUGAUGCACUGGAGACUGUGGAAGGAGAGGAACUCCAGAGUGUUUGAUCAGCUGGCAAGCAGUGCAGAAAGAGUACUAGACGUAGUGCGUGAAGACAUAGCAGUGUGGCGAUCUGCGGGUUGCAUUACAGACUUGGGUCAUUAG